ACCCAAUAGAUACCCAGGUAGUCCACGCCCUAAACGAUGAUUACUCGACAUACGCGAUAUACAGUGUGUGUCUGAGCGAAAGCAUUAAGUAAUCCACCUGGGAAGUACGUCCGCAAGGAUGAAACUCAAAGGAAUUGACGGGGGUCCGCACAAGCGGUGGAGUAUGUGGUUUAAUUCGAUGAUACGCGAGGAACCUUACCUGGGCUAGAAUGCUAUCUGCCCGUACCUGAAAGGGUAUUUGUAGCAAUACACAGAUAGUAAGGUGCUGCAUGGCUGUCGUCAGCUCGUGCCGUGAGGUGUUGGGUUAAGUCCCGCAACGAGCGCAACCCCCAUCUUCAGUUGUCCAGCACGUAAUGGUGGGAACGUCUGAAGAAACUAGCCGUCGUAAGACGCGAGGAAGGAGGGGAGUGAUGUCAAGUCAUCAUGGCCUUUAUGCCCACGGGCGUACACACGUACUACAAUGGGGAGGGACAAAGGGCGAGCGACCUGGUAACGAGGAAGCGAAUCUCAAAAACCUACUUCUCAGUUCAG
rnacentral:rRNA from 1 species